rnacentral:lncRNA from 1 species
AUAAACAGGGAAAUCAAGCUAUGGUUUUUAACUAGGCAGCCAGCAAUACAGCAGGAUACGUACUCCACCUCCACCUCCUGGCAGAGAAGUUAAACCCAGCUUCCUAUACCAGCACCUGGAGCUGACUAAGAGGAGGAUACUUGAGUCAGAUUGAUAGACUGGACAACAUUUAUUAUUAACUUCUUACUAUGGCAAGGCACUGAGGCAAAGAAGUUGAGGAUCUGAGAGUCAUAGAAAGACUUGGCAAAGAUGUGCUGCUCCUACUGUACUAUAUUAUGAUCAAGUUUUUCAUUCAGUUCUGGUCUUUUCUUCAAGAAUAUACUACAAGCAACUAGAAAAGACACAAUUUAAAUACUGUGAAGCUACAAUUAGAAUAAUGUAAGUUAGCCCU